rnacentral:misc_RNA from 1 species
AACGCACCUUGCGCCCUCUGGUAUUCCGGAGGGCAUGCCUGUUUGAGUGUCAUUAAAUUCUCAACUUCAAUAGCUUUUACUAGCUUAUUGAUGCUUGGAUGUGGGAGCUUGCUGGCGUCUUAGAUGUUCGGCUCUCCUUAAAGUUAUUAGUGGAAACCUCUUUGUUGGGUUAUUCCUGGUGUGAUAAUUAUCUACGCUUUGAAUAAUCUAAUGUUCCAUUGGGACUUGAGAUUUCUCAGUAUUUCUAUACUGGUCUGGAUAUUGCAAUUAGUUUUGCUGUAUCUGUAAUCUCUCAGUAGCAAUACUGGUUUUGGAAUUGCAAUUAAAUUUGCUUUACCUGUAGUCUCAGAGGAAAAGGGAAGUUCUGCUUUCUAACCGUCUAUGUAUAUGGACAAUUUAUUGACUAUUUGACCUCAAAUCAGGUAGGACUACCCGCUGAACUUAA